CGUCAGCUGGCCUGGCGGCGGCGCUCCGCUCCCGAUCCCCAACCUCUCGUCUCUCUCCAUCGAGAACCCUGGGUAGGUCGCCGCCGCCUCCCACGCCCACCUCUCCGAUCCCAGUCUAGGGUGAAACAUAGGUGCUUCUCAGUUGGGUAUCGUCCGAGAGAAAGGCGAAUAAGGCGAGGCGCUCCUGGCGGCGUGGGAAGGGAGUUGAAGCCGGAGUCGCCGAUGGCGAGGGCCGCCGUGAGGGAGGAAGGGGUGGUUGGGGCGGUGGUAGAGUCACGCGAAUGCCGUCCUUCCUUGCUGCAAAGGCGGCCGGCGUGCAGCUCCUUGCACCCUGUCCUCCUCAUCACUGCACUCCCGACGCGAAUUAGACAUGGCAACUUCAACUAUAACCUUCAUUUCCUUGUAUCGGAGAUGGCGGUUUGACCCCUGGGGAUCUGGGCUAUGGUUAUUUGAUGAAAUUCCAACCAUGGUGAUGUGCAAAUUCAUGUCAGUUCUUAUAAGAAGAAUAAAUGGCAUCCAUCUUGGUCUCAGUGGCUCUAAAGAAGACAUGAUAAGAAACUGAACUGGUGGGGAUGCUUGAAUUGAUGGACUGAAGGUCCUCUGCAGGCCUAUAUAUAAAUCAGAGUAACACUUUUACAGUUGAUUUGAUGCAAUUGAAAUCAUGGAUCUUUAUAUGCUCAUCACACUGUCAGUAGUUGGCCAUAAAUUAGUGGUUUCAAUUCAUCCAUCUAGCUGAUGGUUAUGUGCUCGGUCUCUCUGAAUUUAUCAUGAUCAAACUUCAAUGUGCGUAUUUAAACUACCUUUUUGCCUUAGUGGACUUGUAGUGUGCAGAUGAAUGCAACUUGUUAUGCUGCAGGCCUCCACCAUGAUGGUCAGGUCCACCACUAAGAGCACACUUGACAAGCUAUGGGCCAAGAGGAUGAGGAAAACAGGAUCUGGAUGGGUACCAUAACAGGUUCAAGGAUCUGGUCGCCAAGGGCGGCUGCUCGCCUAAUAGAUGCAAGGCUGGAAGCCCCCCGAGCGACCGUAGCAAUGAUGGGGGCAUGAAUGACCAUGUUUGGAUCGCUGAUGAUAAUCGGAAUGAUGAGUUUGACGAAUCACCAAGUAUACUUGAUCCUCUCAUGUUUGAUGAUGUGAACAGCAUAACCCUUCAGAGGUACAAGCUGGUGAAAUGGUUCAUCGAACCCCAUUUUUGAGGACCACGUAUCUGGUUGCUUUGUGCGACUUAGGGUUGGCAAGAUAAAAUCAGGCACCCCCAAGUACAUGCUGUGUAUAGUUAGAAACAUGGAUGCCGGUGACCCAAAGCGGCCGUACAAGCUGGAGAGUUACAAAACAUGCAGGUAUCUCAAUGUUUUAUGGGAUAAUGAAGCUAAUGCUGCUCAAUGGCAGAUGACUCAGGUCUCUUAACUCUCCAGCCCUUGAAGAGUUCAAGGAGUGGCUUCAAGAGGCUGAAAAGAAUGGUGUGUGCAUACCAACCCGGCAAGAAGUGCAGGAGAAGAAAGAAGCCAUUAUAAAGACCUGCAACCUUUUGUAUUCAGUGUCUACUGUAAAGCAUAUGCUGUGAGAGAAGAUAUCAGUUGUGAGACGUCCUAUGAAUGUUGCUGCUGAGAAGGAUAGGUUGAGGGAUCAGUUGGAUAUGGCCCUGGUCCUCAGGGAUGAUGAAAUGGCGCCAGAGAGUUUCCAUUUUAAUGCUAAACACUGACUGUGAGUCAUCUAUCUGCCAGUUUUGUUACCUUACCUUUGCGGCUAUAGAAGCUUUCUUUGUCCUCUAGAGAUUAUUAUUUUUGCGUAACCAGUCAAAAUACUUAAGAUACUUAAGUGAUAUUAUUGGCGAAAUAAGACGAGUCCUCUUUAGCUUGUAAUUAUUCAAUUUCUAGAUGUUGUGAUGCUUUCUUGUUUCCUGGUAUU